GGGAGGACUUCUUCUGGGCCUUCACACCUGUUGCGGCGAUUUCAUACGGAUACGAUUCUUCACACCUGUCCGCAUAGAGAGGUUUUUCUUUCGAAGCGCAAACAUCGAACAUCCAGGAGACAAAGUCUUCAACACAUCGGUGGAGGUCCUGCCGUUCGACAAUAUUCAGGCAGACAAAGAGGCUUGACAGGCAGGAGGAGAACGCCAAAG